ensembl:lncRNA
UAUAUAUAUAUAUAUAUAUAUAUAUAAAGGUACUAAUUACCUUUUUUGAGUGACUCACAAUUUGAAAAAAUGUUGCUAUUUGACAGAUUUACGCAAAUGUUUCACCGAUUUGUCCACCUUUCUAGAUGCCCCAUCUAGCGCCAUAGUUAUUACUGCACCUAGUGGUCAAAAUGGGAACUGCAACAAUUGCUAAUAAAUAGAGGACCAUCGGGACAGGAAUGAUGCUGCCCCAUGCUGAAAAUGAAAUCUUUUUAUUGGAGACGGAGCAUUGGACUGAAAGAGUUAAUGACAUGGUUGCCAGGGGCAUGGUUUUUACGCCAGAUUGGGGUUUAAUACUUCAUGGCCGAAAGGAUCCUGUUUUAUAGCAAACCAUUAGAAUGAAAUAUAAUACGUUUAUACAGAAAAAGGCAACCCUGUCAUUAACUGUUAACUGUCAUUAACCCUAACCCUCACCCGUGCAAUGCUCCUCCAACAAUAAAAAUUUUCAUGUUCAGCAGGGGCAUCAUCAUCAUUCCUGCCCCAAUGGCCCUCUGUUUAUUAGCGAUUGUUGCAGUUCCCUUUUUGACCACUAGGGAAUGCAAAAGUGUAAAAGUGUAAGUGCAGACUAGGCUGUGAUGUACAGAACCAUUUCUGUUUUUCCAUUGAAACAACUGGGAGAGUGAAAGGGGGGUAACGGAGUGGUUAACGUCCGUACAUCACAAAUGCUGAAAAACAAGAAGGAAAAUGUGUCUCCUUUUUCCGGUGUCCACAUUUUUUGGGUAGUUUCUGGGCUUUUGAGUGGUUUUUUGAGAUGGAAAUAGCGCUGAAACCGUGGUUAAUGAUAUAACAUGAAACACAGUUAUGUCUAAAACCACUCAAAACAAGCUGUUAGACUGUACGCCGGAUGACCGUACGCCGACGUCGAUACUCAGCCGCCUGUUUACGGACUUAGAUUCUAACCUAUAGCAUAAGUCAAGUGUAAUCGCCUCUUGACUUCAUUCUGUUUGAGGCUGUGUCAUUAUUAUUAUCAUUAUUAUUAUUAUUAUUAAUGUCGUUCUGCCCCACCGAAAUCUAUGGUCACGAGCCACUGCUGCGAAUAAAAAAACAACAAAAAACAAACAAACACGUAAUAUACAGAUAGCACAAUUACUGAAUAACCUAACAUUCCAGAUCCCUAAAGAUUCUUCCCCCCUUUUCCUCCCUCCGCUCUGACUGUUUACAGCUUUUGUUACUCUUUUUUAUAACCGCAUAAACAAACUGUGUGACAUUUGUAAAAAAAAAAAGAAAAAGAAAAAAAAGCGUUACGUUGCUUUUGACUUCACCAAGUGCUCUAAUGUUGUAUUUUGUAUGAUGCUGCUUGUCUUCACGUCGUUUCAUUUCUCACAAAACUAUUUAGGACUCUGAACGAGUCUGAACAAGUCUCUAAACUGCCCGACUGAAAUGGUCUUUUUUUUUUUUCUUUUCCAGCUCAGGUUUAAGCCGAUCAACUGCCACCUUUGCAGGAAAUAGUGUGUGUGUGUGUGUGUGUGUGUGUGUGUGUGUGUGUGUGUGUGUGAAUAUAUAUAUAUAUAUAUACGUAUACUUUUUCACUGCCAGUACCAAGCCUAAUGAUUGUGCACAAUGUAUUAUCACAUGGAAAGGAGUAUCGUAACAGAUUUAAGAGCAGUUUAGCACAGCUAUUAUCAGAUGAUGUAGCGUUUCAUGUUCAUCACUGUAUGUCCAGCCGAGUAGGUUGAUUGUGAGCUGUCGUUCGAGUGCAUCGGCAGGACUCCCAAUCCAAAGAGUUUGAGAAAGAAGCCUUUGGUGUACACUCUCUAUAGUAAGAAAACUGCGUUUGGUUGACGCUUUUUAUCCAAAGCAACUUUAUAUAAGGUUUUUUGGGGUUUUUUUAAGUGUAGAGUUGAGGUCCGGGUAUGUUGCGUUCCUUCACUUUUUGUUUUUUUAUUUUAUUUUGUUUGGGGUUUUUUUUUCCCGCCCAGGAAAUUAAUUCACCUUUUUCUGCAUUUCGUUUUCUCUCCAACUUGGUCACCUGUCUAGGGCAUGCUGCUCAUGCUAUGUCACAUGGCAGUGUAACACUUUCUGAGGAAAUCCAUAUACAUGAGCUCAUAGACACCUGGCUAGGUGAUUGGCUUGUGUCACUGUGAUUGACAGGGGAGAGAGAGAGUAUGCCCAUCCCACCCAGAGAGCAUGGCCAGUUUUUCUCUCUGGGACACCCGGCCAUCGAGGGCUACGGCGUUGUCGGGAUUCGAACUCGCCAGAACGCUGUUCAGUUUGUGCCGCUUGGGAGCCCUUAAAAUGAUUAUUUUUUCACAAAUAAAAUAUUGACUUGUUUUCAGUUGUUUCUACUUGUUUCACCACACAAAGUCCAGAACUCAAAUACGCAUGAAUCCAAAUAUUAAAAAAAAAAAAAAAAUGGCCAAAGCUGACCUGGAAGUACAAGUUGGAUAUUCCAUAUGCUCUUUCCUUUGGUCAUAAUGUACUGUGUGUCCUUCAUUUUUAAUUUUUUUAAUGAAUCAAUUUAAAUUAAUUUAUUUAUUUUUAAACGCUGUCCUCCUUCUCGGUCACCCUCUCGCUAUCUUUAAAAAAAAAAAAAAAAAAAAAAAGCACAUAGUGAUCCAUAUUUAGUCCGUCAGGCACGAACGGCAAUCUUUAAUCUAAACUUUUUGCUACUAGCUACCCAGUAAUUGCUGCUAGACAUCGGGUCGGUCGUUCGUUUGUUAGUCAAGAUUGUUAUUUUUAACCCCGAAAUGAUAUUUAUCGUCUUUAAAAUCCAAAAACGUCUCAUUUUGAUCAUCUUGUUUGUUCGAAUUCGAAAUGGAGAAAAAAAAAACCGCAACGACGAACGCGACGUGCGCCGAUCAGCUGAGCGCAGGCUUUCUUGUUACCUUCUAUUUUGGAUUCCAACAAUGCUGGGAUUUGAACUUGGAUGCAAAUCUAGAUCAACAGAUCCAGAUCACAACGCUGAACAGGACACUCGAAUGAUUAUAGGAAAGUGGCUGAACUGAGUUGAAUGUAUGAGGUGGAUACUAUACGUGUAAGGAAAUAGGAAAAUUCAGCCUGUGAAGUUUGGGGGCGGAGCUUAAUGACCAUGCCGUGCCCUUCUUUUUUUUUUUUUUUGAGCGCGGUAGAUGUGGUGAUCGGCUUCAUAAAAGCCUUUCUGAAAUCGACGACGCCUCGGUGACUGCAUAGAGUGUUCGUGACGGUUGGAACGUCCGAUCCGAGAUCGGUUUUGUGAUUCUGCUGUUUGGAGUUUGACGAGUGAAUGGACAGAGAUAUGGAGCUCGGAAGCUGAAAACAGUAUUUAAAUAUGAAUUACGUAAAUAUUGCGCAAAUUGUUAUGUUCUAUUAAAAAAAAACCAAAAAAAAAAAAACGGGUUUUCAAAAGUGAACUUAAACACUAGACCAAGCGUAACUAUUUAGGUAACGUUAUCACCAGUUGCUAUGCUAACGUUAGCUUGCUGGCAAUUGUUAGCAUCUAACAGCCAAAGUGAUCUGUUUAUUAAUAGCAGUUUAGUUAUUUCAGUACAACAGAAAAACGUUAGAUGUGUUACCUCAUUGUGGUUUUUAUCAUCCGUUCGCCACGUCUCUUCACUUCACUUCAAGGACGUAAGAGCGGCAGACGACUGACAUCGGCUAAACGUUGAAUACGAUCACUCUUUGAUGCAUCACUUUAGUCCUAAUUUACAUUUUUAAAAAUAAAAUUUCUUUACAUUUGUAUAUAGGGUUCUGAUUUUUUUUUUUCUUUUUAAAACCUCAAAAUCAUAACCUGUCAUUUAAAAUAUGUUUUCACAUGUUAACCUUUUACUAGCAUUUACUCACAGUUGAUAAAUACACCGUGGAAAAGACAAGAAUUUCAGUUGAAUGUGAGAUAAUUAAAAAAUACUUUUGUCAGCUUCUAACCUUUUGUACAUGUGGAUGAUCGUUUAAAAAGAAACUUUAAGGUUAAAGUGUUUCGUUAGGGGUUGUGAUGAAAGUACCACACAGUUAUAUCAGUUUCUAAUUAGACCCCUUGUGUUUGUUAGAGAAUGGAAGAAAGUGUGGGAUUGAACGUCCGUGUGUGUGUGUGUGUGUGUGUUUGAUUCCUUCAUUCCUUCCUUCCCACUUACCCGUCUACAAUGUGCCACCAGAGCCACAUGAUUUGUUUACACGUGUCGUGUCACGUGCGAAUUUACGUGCACGUUCGUUCUUCUGCUCAGCUUGACUGCAUGACGCUUGUUUUAUAUUGUUCAAACCAAUGUCUUACUUUUUAAGACGUCAAAAUGAUGUCUUAUCUUUUUUUUUUUUUUACUAAGGUUCUAGAUAUCUAUUGUACGUUUACGUGCUGGUUAAAUCUAUUUAAAUGUAUUGUUUUUGUUUGUUUGUUUGUUUGUUUUUUAAUCAACAUAAACGCUGUUGAAAUUGCAAUACCUGUUUGUGUCAUAUGAUCAAAUUAUACAUCCGCGUGUGUGUGUGAAAGUGUAUAAAACAUGUACAGCGUAUCUCCUGGCAUAUUUUCACCUUCCCUAUUCUGCACAGACUUCCUAUUUUUAACAUGUACACUCACACACACUCACUCGCCGGCCACUUUAAUAGGAACACCUGUGCGCCCGUUCAGUUAUGUAAUUACGAGAUUAUCAGCCGAUCACGUGGCGGCGGCGUGAAGACAUGAAACCGUGUAGAAACGGGUCACGAGCUUCAGUUAACCGCGGAAAAUCAUCUACUCGAAAGCCGUAGCUUUGAGGUGGACGAACUACGACAGCAGAUAUAAUCGCAUGAACGACAAGCGUUCAUAUCAAAGUGGCCGCAUUCAUUGGCGUAUUAAAAUAUAUAUAUAUUUUGUAAUAACGUUAGCUUAAUUACAAACCGGCUACAUAUACACAUAUAGGGCUUGGGUUGCCAUUAUCUGGUCAAAUUAAACUGAUUCCUAUGAUGAUGGAUUGUGGGGUUUUUUUUUUUUGUUUUUGUUUUUUGGUGUCUCGAAAUAUAGCAGGAAUACGUUGGUCUUCCCCCUGCCAAAAGUGUGUAUUGCUCAAGUUUACAUCUUUCUAGAGCUUCCAGUCACACUGGCUUAAAAACAGAUAUCACAAUCAUGCAAUCCAAGCUGUAAGAAAUAUGCUUAUACGUAUGCCAGUCUGGUCUUAACUGCUGUACAGUUCUCAAGCUAUGUAAUGAAUUUUUUCCAUUUGCUGUUUUUCAGGUGCAUUUGAUGCAGUAGAUUGUGAACACCCUUUUGAGUUGACCCUUAUAUUUCGAAUUAAAGCUCCAAAAUAUUAGAAUUGACAUCUUUUUUUUUUUCAUAAUUUUGGAGUGAGGCUAAUGUAGCUAACAAAUAACAGAAGCUUACAACGGCAAAUGAUCACCAAGGAAAACGACAUUUUUGGCCAAUACCCUUCCAUUUCGCAAGUCUGUAUUUGAAAUGUUAUACGAGUACGGGUCAAGUACGGCUGCCACGUGAUUUCUGUCGCAAGUUCUACACGUACAAUGUACUUUUAUCCGUUUUAUAGCUAAUGAUAUUUCGUUAUCCGUAGAACUAAACACAUUUUACAAAUUUGUGUUAGUUUUGCCAUUCAGUUUGAUGCGAAUUGUUACGCAUAAGCUUUUAUUACUUAUAUAUUUACAUUGUGUUGAGGUUCCUAAACUAAAGAAGUCUUGGCUAAUCAAUUUAAUCAUAAUUCAUUGAAAAUGUUGUAUUAAUAACAAAUUGUAAAAAAAAAAAAAAAAUCCUGAAUCAUAAAUAAUUUUAAAGAUAAUCAAUGCGCAGAUAGAUGGGGUUAAUGAUAUUUUCACCUUGGUUGGUGGUGUAAAUACAUCUGUAUUUCAUUUGAGGUAUUAUUAUUAUUAUUAUUAUUAUUAUUAUUAUUAUUAUUAUUACUCUGGCAUAACAAUGUGUUUAUCUAAGUGCCAAGCUUUCAUUUCUGUCAAAGCACUGACUACAUCUUUUGUGAAAUAUUAAACGAGUGAAUUAUAAAUUUGUGGUUAUUUAUGGGUCCAUUUAAAUAAAAGUGUUCACAGAUUGUUAUUUUUCCCCUCACAGUUUAUUAUUUCAUUGUUGUUGUUGUUGUUUGUGUGUGUGUGUGUGUGUGUGUGUGUGUGUGUGUGUGUGUGUGUGUGUAAUUAUCAAAGUCUUGUUUAAAAAAAAUCUCUAAUCAUC